UACAGAGGGUGCAAGCGUUAAUCGGAAUUACUGGGCGUAAAGCGUGCGUAGACGGUCAUGUAAGUCGGGUGUGAAAGCCCCGGGCUCAACCUGGGAAUUGCAUUCGAGACUGCAUGGCUAGGAUGCGGAAGAGGGAAGCGGAAUUUCCGGUGUAGCGGUGAAAUGCGUAGAUAUCGGAAGGAACACCAGUGGCGAAGGCGGCUCACUGGACCGGAACUGACGCUGAGGCGCGAAAGCGUGGGGAGCAAACAGG
rnacentral:rRNA from 1 species